rnacentral:tRNA from 1 species
GCGUUUAGCUCAGCUGGUUCAGAGCAUCUGCCUUACAAGCAGAGGGUCGGCGGUUCGAAUCCGUCAACGCCCACAA